UGGAAGGGAGCUUGCUCCCGGAAGUUAGCGGCGGACGGGUGAGUAACACGUGGGCAACCUGCCUGUAAGACUGGGAUAACUUCGGGAAACCGGAGCUAAUACCGGAUAAUUUCUUUCUUCUCAUGGAGGAAGGUUGAAAGAUGGCUUCGGCUAUCACUUACAGAUGGGCCCGCGGCGCAUUAGCUAGUUGGUGAGAUAACGGCUCACCAAGGCAACGAUGCGUAGCCGACCUGAGAGGGUGAUCGGCCACACUGGGACUGAGACACGGCCCAGACUCCUACGGGAGGCAGCAGUAGGGAAUCUUCCGCAAUGGACGAAAGUCUGACGGAGCAACGCCGCGUGAGUGAUGAAGGUUUUCGGAUCGUAAAACUCUGUUGUCAGGCAAGA
rnacentral:rRNA from 2 species